rnacentral:lncRNA from 1 species
GGUGGCCGGCGAAUCCCCGCCCAGCCAGGUGUCAGUCCUCGAGGCCAGGCCGGACACCGCCGGAGCGAGGGCCACGGGGACGGGGUGCUGGCGCUGCCCGCGAGACCUGACCCCAGCCCAGCGAGCGCCUUGCUGCCCUCGUCCCGUCCCAGCCCUCCGGAGAGAGGGCCCCGGGGGUCAGGGGCUUGGACGCUCCCGGGGGGAUAUAGGGCCUGGUCGCUGCAUCAAAAUGAAUUUUGUGAAGCGAUUUCCUGCCGCUAUAUUAAAAUGUAACCGGCCUGCUGAGUCACGGAAUAUUCUCAGCGCCAGAAUGACUCAGUUCGCGGAACCCGAGCCAGAAGAUCAUGAGUUUCGGUCCUAGAUCAGAACCUGGGCACUGGCCCAAUAUAGAGCAAAUGAUGACUGGGUCCGAGUGACAGUAGCCCAGCAGAAUGCGGCGGUUCUCAGACUUUUGAGUCCUCGAGCAAAGUGGAUGCUCGAAGUGAAUGCCCAGGAUGGAUUUUUUUUUUUAAACUUUUCAGAAAAGUAAGAAUACUACACGGUUUUAGAUGCAGUAGGCCUGUUCAGACAGGGAUAGUGGGGAUCUGAAACAAUAAAAUAAGUAAAUGUUAGGUGACUAUGGUUAGGGUCAGUGUUAGUCCCACAAUUACUAAUUAGGAGGGCCUUAGGCAUAAUGGUCUAGUUGGAUUGGGCGGAGGCCUGGGGCGUCCAGAGGACUUUGGCAGAGCCUGCUUUUUGAGUAUAUCAUCAUAUAUUGCUAUGAGGUAUUGUUCGUUUAUUGGAUGAGAUAGGUGGAGAUGAUACAUAGUUAGAAGUCUCAAACCAUUCACCCAGCACCCUCUUUUUGGGAGAAGGAAGUUGUGAGGACAAUAAUAAUGUUUAAUCCUUUCAUACUGGAGUUGAAGCAUCAGUAUAUUCACUUAUACCUAAAGGAGAUGAUAUCCUCAGCUCUUCCUUGUGCUUGGGAACAAAGGAGCAAAGAUAAAGACGACUUUAUUAAUACCAACAAACUAAAGGAUCCUGCCCCAAUUCUUGGUAUAAGUCCAAGCGUAACAACAUAAGCUGUCUUUUGUGGCCAAGUUCAGGUUGAUGGGGACUGAACCCAGGGCCUUGGCAUUCUAGGCAAGUGCUCCACCACUGAGCUAUACUCUAGCCUCAUUCUUCAUUUCAGUGGCACACAUUUCAUUUGUGAAAUUGUAUACAAACAACUGUAUACCAACAAUUGCACAAAAUCCAAGGGUAGAAUUCAGUAGUUGAAUGAAGUACCACAGAGUGCACACACCCCUGUAAUCACUGACCAGGUCUAAAAAUAAACAUUACUUUGACUCAAAAGCUCAUCCUGUCUCUUGCCAACCAGCAGUCCCAUUCUGCCAAAUGUAAAUUCUAUUCUUUCAUCAGUUCCCAUUUGAUAACAUAGAAACUUUGGAAGCAUUAGUUUUGCUGGCUUUUGAAUGCUGUUUAAAUGAAAUCCACACCUGCCUGGCAAGGGUGCACCUGCCUGGCAGGCGCAAGGUCCUGAGUUUGAUCAUGAGGUCAAGGCCAGCCUGGGCUACAUAGUGAGUUCAAGGGAACUACAUAGACCCAGUCUCAACAAAACAAUAGUAAUUUAGUGUAAUCCCAGCACGUAGAAG